GAUGAACGCUGGCGGCGUGCCUAAUACAUGCAAGUCGAGCGAACGGACGAGAAGCUUGCUUUUCUGAUGUUAGCGGCGGACGGGUGAGUAACACGUGGAUAACCUACCUAUAAGACUGGGAUAACUUCGGGAAACCGGAGCUAAUACCGGAUAAUAUUUUGAACCGCAUGGUUCAAAAGUGAAAGACGGUCUUGCUGUCACUUAUAGAUGGAUCCGCGCUGCAUUAGCUAGUUGGUAAGGUAACGGCUUACCAAGGCAACGAUGCAUAGCCGACCUGAGAGGGUGAUCGGCCACACUGGAACUGAGACACGGUCCAGACUCCUACGGGAGGCAGCAGUAGGGAAUCUUCCGCAAUGGGCGAAAGCCUGACGGAGCAACGCCGCGUGAGUGAUGAAGGUCUUCGGAUCGUAAAGCUCUGUUAGUAGGGAAGAACAGAUGUGUAAGUAACUGUGCACAUCUUGACGGUACCUAAUCAGAAAGCCACGGCUAACUACGUG
rnacentral:rRNA from 1 species